UUCCUACGGGGGGCUGCAGUGGGGAAUAUUGCGCAAUGGGCGAAAGCCUGACGCAGCGACGCCGCGUGAGGGACGAAGGUCUUCGGAUUGUAAACCUCUUUCAGCAGGGACGAAGCGAAAGUGACUGUACCUGCAGAAGAAGCACCGGCUAACUACGUGCCAGCAGCCGCGGUAAUACGUAGGGUGCAAGCGUUGUCCGGAUUUAUUGGGCGUAAAGAGCUCGUAGGCGGUUUGUCGCGUCGGAUGUGAAAACCCAAUGGCUUAACCUUGGGCCUGCAUUCGAUACGGGCAAACUAGAGUGUGGUAGGGGAGACUGGAACUCCUGGUGUAGCGGUGGAAUGCGCAGAUAUCAGGAAGAACACCGAUGGCGAAGGCAGGUCUCUGGGCCAUAACUGACGCUGAGGAGCGAAAGCGUGGGGAGCAAACAGGAUUAGAUACCCCUGUAGUCA
rnacentral:rRNA from 1 species